rnacentral:rRNA from 1 species
GUCUUUUAGAUAAUUAUUUGAGGUCGUGCCUGCUCACUGAUGUAAAUUAAAUAGCCGCGGUAAUUUGACCGUGCAAAGGUAGCAUAAUCAUUUGUCUCUUAAUUAGAGGCUGGAAUGAAUGGUUUGACGAGAGAAUUACUUUAUUAAAAUAAUAAAAUUAAUUUUAUUUUUGAGUUAAAAAGCUUAAAUUUUUUUAUGGGACGAGAAGACCCUAUAGAACUUUAUUAUUAUUAUUAAUUAAUUUGGUUGGUUUUGAUUAGUAUUUAUUUAAUAAUAAUAAUUUUAUUGGGGUGAUAUUGAUUUUUUUUUAACAAUUGAUUAUUUUUUUUCAAUGAUAUUUGUUUUUUUGAUCCAUAAUUAAUGAUUAUAAGAUUAAGUUACCUUAGGGAUAACAGCGUUAUUUAUUUUUAGAGUUCUAAUCGAAAAAUAAGAUUGCGA